CAGGGUGGGACGGGACGGGGACGGGCAGCGUUUCGGCAUUGGAUGUUGCCAGAUCUGAUCGUCCCGCUGGUGAUGCAGGUUACACGCCGACGGGGGGGGUGGGGGAGCAGGUUCCAGGUUUUCGGGCCCACGUCUCCUUCAGAGCCGCUAGCGUUAGCUUCGGCGGCGCGCGGCAGCUGGGGGCGUCGCCACGGAAAUGACCGGAAUGUUAGCGGCAUGGCGCGGCGAGCUCGGCUCGGAGCGGAACCCCUCCCUGGACCUGCAGGAGACUGAAGGGGGGGGGGGGGGCAGCCAUGUUUUCCUGUUUUUGGUUUUUGUUAUAAAUGUUCUCGCUGAUUUUUG